CAACAGUCCAGCACAACAACAACAACCCCCUCAACUAGACCCAGAGAGAUGGAGGGGGUGAGAGACGUGUCUGCACUCUGGACUUUGGUGAGGAAACUUCAAUAGGAGAAAGAGUAGGAGCCGAAGGAGGAGGCCCAGCAGCAGGAGAAGAUGAGAGAAAAGGAGGAGAAAAAGAGGAAGGAGAAGGAGGUGCGGAGCAGGCCCUACAGUCGGGAGGAGGAGUGGACCAGGCCCUACAGUUGGGAGGAGGAGCGGAGCAGGCCCUACAGUCGGGAGGAGGAGCGGACCAGGCCCUACAGUCGGGAGGAGGAGCGGAGCAGGCCCUACAGCCGGGAGGAGGAGCGGAGCAGGCCCUACAGUCGGGAGGGGGAGCGGAGAGCAGUAGCCACUGAAAAACGACAUGAGGGGAAAAAGUCGUCCACUCACCCACUCGUCCAAUGACAUGACAACCUCCCAGCAGCUAGCUAGCUAGCUAGCAUUAUGCUCUAUAUUUUAGUGUGCUAAACAGCUACAUAAAUAGAUAUGCUAGCCUAUAAGCCUAUUAGCCUGUUAGCCUAUUAGCCUAUUAGCCUAUUAGCCUGUUAGCCUAUUAGCCUGUUAGCCUAUUAGCCUGUUAGCCACGUUAUGACUGACUUGUGAGCAUUACCCUCUCUAGUUUGAUUGUACUUCACAUUCCUAAACAUUAGCUACAGUCGUCCGUAAAAAAAAAAAAAUGGAGUCAUUGAAACUGAAACAGAGCAUUCUGAAUGGCUGGAGGCAGUAAACAAUGUAACCAGGCCAGCUGUGAUUUACA
ensembl:lncRNA